rnacentral:rRNA from 1 species
CCAGACUCCUACGGGAGGCAGCAGUGGGGAAUAUUGUACAAUGGGCGAAAGCCUGAUGCAGCAACGCCGCGUGAAGGAAGAAGGGUUUCGGCUCGUAAACUUCUAUCAACAGGGACGAAAGAAAUGACGGUACCUGAAUAAGAAGCCCCGGCUAACUACGUGCCAGCAGCCGCGGGAAUACGUAGGGAGCGAGCGUUGUCCGGAAUUACUGGGUGUAAAGGGAGCGUAGGCGGGCGAGAAAGUUGAAUGUUAAAUCUACCGGCUUAACUGGUAGCUGCGUUCAAAACUUCUUGUCUUGAGUGAAGUAGAGGCAGGCGGAAUUCCUAGUGUAGCGGUGAAAUGCGUAGAUAUUAGGAGGAACACCAGUGGCGAAGGCGGCCUGCUGGGCUUUAACUGACGCCGAGGCUCGAAAGCGUGGGGAGCAAACAGGAUUAGAUACCCGUGUACU